UACUGAUCCAGCCAUCCAGGCACCCCACGUGAGGAUUUUUUUUUUUUUUCUAAGGAAAAGCUAAAUUUGUGUUUUUGGUUGACCCAACCACCAGUUCUCAGCUUUGUACCAUUUUAAUUUGCUUGAGUCCAGGAAUGGCACCUUAAGGGCAGGACUUAGUGGGAGACAGAUUUGUCAUAAAACUGGUGUCAGAGUGGACCUGUAAGUCGGGUUUUUGGUGAUGGCAUUUUGCAUUAAAAUUAGUAACACCUGCGAACAGGAGCUUUGUCUGCUGGCAUAUAUGAUGACUGAACUUUUUUCCCCAACAGAUCGACCAUGUUGAUCUAACUUUCCUAAGCCAGUUUCUGUCUGAUAUGCCAACUUGAGCAGCUCCUUUGUCCCUCACUUCCCUUGAGCAUCUAGCUGAUGGGAACUCGUGUUUGUUUUUUCAUCUUAGAGUUACUGUUGGCUGAAAGCAGACUUCGAGUAGACCAGGAAUGAGAUGUUGGUUAGGAACCCUAUGAGCCACAGGACCAUAUGUAGAUGCAGCCUGAUCUACAUUCUGCAUUGGUUCAUUCUGACCUGCGUCAGGAAUUUCUCAACUAUGGAGCUGGUCCCAAGUCUUGGAAAUGAUUGAUCCUGUGCUUUCCUGAAUAAGAGUGAUAGUUUCUGGUUGAAUCUGUCUCAAAAAGGUUUUAUGUAACCUGAGGACUGUCUAGAGGCCUGUGCCCAUUUUGAAGAAUCCAGGAUUAUGGUUAAACUUGGCAAACAUUUUUAGUUUGUAUCAUUUCUAUCUGGAGAGAGAAA
rnacentral:lncRNA from 1 species